UUUUUUUUUUUGGGUUUAUUUUUGUGGGUGCCUUUCUCUAUCUUUUACUUGUGCUUCCCGUCCAAGACGAAUUUAGUGAAUAAACAAACGGGUUUUUUGGGAGUUUUGCUUGCAGUCAAUCUUUCCCUUUUCUUCUUCCGGUUCAUUUCCUCCUCAUUUCUUCUCCUCUGAAUUCUUGAACUUUCUCUCAUGCUGAAUUCUUGAAUUCAUUGAUUUUUGCUGUAUAAAGACACGCGCUCACUUAUAUAUAGUAAGUUUCUUCUUAAUUUUAUCCUCAAUUUCUUCUCUCUGUUCAUUUGUUUCUUGUUAAUCUUUAAUUGAUUUGAAUUCUGUAUAUCUACGCUUUCCUCUCUCAAUUGCUCUAUUCCAUUUUUUUUUCCAUCUAUUGAAAUCUGGAAUUCUUGUUAAUUACUUCUUGAUAUUCAACCCCGGCAAGAAAAAAAAAAUGCAAACAUGUGAGAGCAGAAGCUUGUCUGAGCUUGUAACCGAGUUACAGGCCUCAGCAGAAGAGGUUGCCUCACUGGCAAAGAACUCCGAAUCCGAUAAAGAAGUUUUUACUGAAUUUGCAGCUCUGCUUGAGAAGUUCACACCAGUUCUCAUAGAAUUAAAAGAAAAUUGUAAGGUCAUGGAUAGACCACCAGUUAGAAAAGCAGUUGAAUCACUUGAAAAGGAGCUUAGGGGUGCCAAGGAGUUGAUUAAAAGCACUGGUUCACGAUCACCCAUUAAGCAAAUGGAAUACAUGACUCAAGAUCUUGGGAGAUCUUUAGGCCUUGUGCUCUUUGCUAGUAUUGAUGUGUCUCCAGAAAUCAAAGACAAGGUUGCAGCACUGCAUAAAGAAUUGAUGAAUGCCAAGUUUAAUACCAGUUUAAGUACAAGUCCAUGUCCUAGUCCAAGACCAAGUCAAGAAUCAGGGUUUGUGAGUGAACUGGACUCUGAAAGGGAAAUUGAGGAAGAAACCGUUACUCUUAGUAUCGAAGAUGUUGUAUUGCAACUUAAGUAUGGUAAUGAUGAAGAGUUUAGGCUUGCACUCUGGGGAUUGCGUGAUUUUAUUAAGGAUCAUUCUAUUGAUAAUGAGUGGAUUAAUAAUGAAGGAGUUAUUCCAAUUCUGUUUAAUCGGUUAGGUUCGAGCAAGCCUCACAACCGGUUGACUAUCAUUCAAAUGCUAAGAAUCCUUGCUUCUGUUAAUACUGAAAACAAGGAAAAGAUGGCCGAUGUUGAAUCUUUAUCAUUAUUGGUGAAAUCUUUGACACGAGAUGUGGAUGAACGGAGGGAAGCUGUAGGGCUUUUAUUGGAACUCUCAGAGAUUUCUGCAGUUCGGCGGCGUAUUGGAAGAAUUCAAGGCUGUAUUGUUAUGCUAGUUACUAUGCUUAAUGGGGAUGAUUCAACUGCUUGUCACGAUGCUGGAAAGUUGUUGAUUGCAUUGUCAAACAAUACUCAAAAUGCACUUCAUAUGGCUGAGGCUGGUUACUUCAAACCUUUAGUGCAUUACCUAAAGGAAGGCUCUGACAUGAGUAAGAUCCUCAUGGCAACAGCAAUUUCAAGAAUUGAACUCACAGAUCAAAGUAGAGCUUCCCUUGGUGAAGAUGGGGCAAUUGAACCCCUAGUCAAACUGUUUAAAGCUGGAAAGCUUGAAGCCAAGUUAUCUGCGUUAAAUGCAUUGCAAAAUUUAUCAA
rnacentral:misc_RNA from 1 species